rnacentral:rRNA from 1 species
GACGAACGCUGGCGGCGUGCUUAACACAUGCAAGUCGAACGGAAAGGCCCUGCUUUUGUGUGGUGCUCGAGUGGCGAACGGGUGAGUAACACGUGAGUAACCUGCCCUUGACUUUGGGAUAACUUCAGGAAACUGGGGCUAAUACCGGAUAGGAGCUCCUGCUGCAUGGUGGGGGUUGGAAAGUUUCGGCGGUUGGGGAUGGACUCGCGGCUUAUCAGCUUGUUGGUGGGGUAGUGGCUUACCAAGGCUUUGACGGGUAGCCGGCCUGAGAGGGUGACCGGCCACAUUGGGACUGAGAUACGGCCCAGACUCCUACGGGAGGAAGGAGUGGGGAAUAUUGCACAAUGGGCGGAAGCCUGAUGCAGCAACGCCGCGUGCGGGAUGACGGCCUUCGGGUUGUAAACCGCUUUCGCCUGUGACGAAGCGUGAGGGACGGUAAUGGGUAAAGAAGCACCGGCUAACUACGU